rnacentral:lncRNA from 1 species
GGAAAAAUUGAAAAAUGGGAAAAUCAUCACAAUUGGGUACUUUCAAAGGACUUUAGUAAAAAAGGAAGUGCACCACCAUAUGAUUUUUCUCACCAAUUAUUUUUUUUAAAGCGAUACAUGUAUAUCAACCAAAAAAUCAAGUUUAAGACAAAAAGUUUUAUUCUUGAAAUUGUUUGCUCCUUAGAUGUGUCCAUUUUGGAAAUGCGGUGAGAAAAAUGGUCGGAAUGGGUAAGUGAAAUCAAUUAUGUUAUGUUGGAAGAAUGUCAAUGUUAAAAAAUAAUUGCAAAAUUUUUCAGAAAUCGAAUGUUUUUUCUAGUGGUGGUCUCAGUAUUCAGCCUAUCAACCCAGUUGACCAACUUUGCACCUUGUUGCAAUUACUAAAUUGAGUUUUUGUAAGAAAUUGAGAUUGGACAUUCAGCAAAGAGUACAUCAAUCAGUUUAAUAUUUGUUUUCCUUUAAAUCACAUGAUUUGCCUAUACUUCUAUGGUGGAUUUCGUUGCUGUUAAUGCUUUUAUACUUUGAUGCAAAAAGCCGCAGUAUAUCUUAGGUAUAAUUCUUUUUUUUUUUACUUUAUAUCGUCUUUUUUUUCUAUCUUUUGCAUGUUGUUAUAUCAUUGACACAUUUUGACUGUCUAUUUGAUAUAUGAUUACAUAUAUUCUUAGUAACCUGUGACCUGCGACCACAACUUAUAAUAAUGCCAUGCAUACACACUUAUAAUUAUUAUGUCCCCAAAACUGUUGAAUUGAUACUUAAACGUUAAAAUCAUCUCUACAGUAAUUUUGAAAUUUGACAUAAUUUCUCAUUCAUACUAACAAUAGAUAUAUAACGAUGUAGGAGUUUUCCAUUUUUGUGAUUUACAUUUCCGAUUUCAGAUAUUACCUGAACCUUGGAUCUUACUGUGUUAUUUUUUUUUUUUAUCUCACCUGCUUACAGGGUCAAGUGAGUUUUUCUCAUCACUUGGCGUCCGUCGUUCGUCUGCGCCCAUUAACUUUUACACAUCUCUUCUCCUCUGCAACUACUGUGCAAGUAUGAACCAAACUUGACCACAAUAUUCAUUGGUGUUUUUGAAGAAAACAGACAGUUAAAAAACAUGUAUCUAAUGGCCCCGUUUGCCGAUCAACAUUGCCGACAUGGAUAAACAUACAGUAUAGGGGUGAAAUGCAUACUAUUUUGAAAACUAUUACAGACUUUGAAACCGUUACAGACUUUGAAAACCGUUACAGGCUGAAUUCAUACAGGAACUUCUUUGGAAGAAAGAUAAGAAGUUAGCAAUAUCCUUUAACUUUACUUUCCGC